rnacentral:misc_RNA from 1 species
GAUGAAGAACGUAGCGAAAUGCGAUAAGUAAUGUGAAUUGCAGAAUUCAGUGAAUCAUCGAAUCUUUGAACGCACAUUGCACCCAUCAGUAUUCUGUUGGGCAUGCCUGUCCGAGCGUCAUUUCAACCCUCAGGGCCCGUUCGCGGGAACUGGUGUUGGGGAUCGGCCUCCCCCCGGAGGCCGGCCCCGAAAUGCAGUGGCGGCUCUACCGCGAUCUCCUCUGUGUAGUAGCGAUACCUCGCAGCUGGAUAGUGGUGGUGCCACGCCGUAAAAUCCCAACUUUACCAAGGUUGACCUCGGAUCAGGUAGGAAUACCCGCUGAACUUAAGCAUAUCAAUAAGCGGAGGA